rnacentral:rRNA from 1 species
UACAGAGGUCUCAAGCGUUGUUCGGAUUCAUUGGGCGUAAAGGGUGCGUAGGCGGCGCGGUAAGUCGGGUGUGAAAUCUCGGGGCUUAACUCCGAAACUGCAUUCGAUACUACCGUGCUUGAGGACUGGAGAGGAGACUGGAAUUUACGGUGUAGCAGUGAAAUGCGUAGAUAUCGUAAGGAAGACCAGUGGCGAAGGCGGGUCUCUGGACAGUUCCUGACGCUGAGGCACGAAGGCCAGGGGAGCGAACAGG